UACGAAGGGGGCUAGCGUUGCUCGGAAUUACUGGGCGUAAAGCGUACGUAGGCGGUUAUUCAAGUCAGAGGUGAAAGCCCGGGGCUCAACCCCGGAACUGCCUUUGAAACUAGAUAGCUAGAAUCUUGGAGAGGUCAGUGGAAUUCCGAGUGUAGAGGUGAAAUUCGUAGAUAUCGGAAGAACACCAGUGGCGAAGGCGACUGACUGGACAAGUAUUGACGCUGAGGUACGAAAGCGUGGGGAGCAAACAGG
rnacentral:rRNA from 1 species